UACGGAGGAUGGCAAGCGUUAUCCGGAAUGAUUGGGCGUAAAGGCGUCCGAGCAGGUGGCUGUGUAAGUCGUGCUGUCAAAGAGCAAAGCUCAACUUUGUAAAGGCAGUGGAAACUACACGGCUAGAGUGCGUUCGGGGCAGAGGGAAUUCCUGGUGUAGCGGUGAAAUGCGUAGAGAUCAGGAAGAACACCGGUGGCGAAGGCGCUCUGCUAGGCCGCAACUGACACUGAGGGACGAAAGCUAGGGGAGCGAAUGGG
rnacentral:rRNA from 1 species